rnacentral:rRNA from 1 species
GACAGAGGGUGCAAACGUUGUUCGGAAUUACUGGGCGUAAAGCGAGUGUAGGCGGUUUCCUAAGUCAGGUGUGAAAGCCCCGGGCUCAACCCGGGAAGUGCACUUGAAACUGGGAGGCUAGAGUAUCGGAGAGGUUGAUGGAAUUCUCGGUGUAGAGGUGAAAUUCGUAGAUAUCGAGAGGAACACCGGUGGCGAAGGCGGCCAACUGGACGAAUACUGACGCUGAGACGCGAAAAGCGUGGGUAGCAAACAGG